AUAUUUGCUAUUACCACCAAGAUCUGUACCAGUGGAAGCAACUAUGGUAGGCACAUGAACUACCAACGACAGUUGAAAAGGCAGACACUUGAUAGACACGCCACCGGUUCAAGACCUUGCGAUCAGCUACAGUUAUUCGGAGUCACCAAUCAACGGGCCGAAACCCGAUUGAUUUUAAUCUAAUAGAUGCGGUCGUUAGAAAAUCGGAGCUUUGGUGCUUGUAUUAGCUCUAGAAUUACCACAUUUAUACGCGUAGGAUAUCGAGAUCAAGUAUAUAAUAGCUGUUGUAAUGAGCCGUUCGCGGUUCCAUCUUUAUAGGCCAUUUGAACUAAGACAUGCAUGGCUUAGCCUUUGAGAUAAGCACAUUUUGUUGGCUUUCUGAUCUGAGAUAAUGGUUAAGAGGGACGGACGGGACAUUCGUAUCGCUGCGUGAGAGGUGAAAUUCUUGGACUGAGCGAGACGUCCGACUGCGAAAGCGUUUGCCAAGAAUGUCUUCAGUAAUGAAGAACGAAAGUCAGAGGUUCGAAGGCGAUCAGAUACCGCCCUAGUUCUGAUCGUAAACGAUACCAAUUAGCGUUCCGUCAGCGAUAAAUAUGCCUUGACGGGCAGCUUCCCGGAAACGAAAGUCUUUCGGUUCCGGGGGAAGUAUGGUUGCAAAGCUGAAAAUUACAGAAAUUGAUAGAAGGGCACCACCAGGAGUGGAGCCUGCCGCUUAAUUUGACUCAACACGGGAAAACUCACCUGGCCCGGACACCGUAAGGAUUGACAGAUUGAGAGCUCUUUCUUGAUUCGGUGGUUGGUGGUGCAUGGCCGUUGUUAGUUGGCGGAGUGAUUUGUCUGGUUUACUCCGACAACGAGCGAGAUUCCAGCCUAUUAAAUAGUUAUCGGAUAAACAAGUCCGGAAGACUUCUUAGAGGGACAAGCGGUAUUCAGCUGCGUGAAGUUGAGCAAUAACAGGUCUGUGAUUCCUUUAGAUGUCCAGGGCUGCACGCGCGCUACACUGGAGGAAUCAGCGUGCUGUAACCAUUGCCGAAAGGUAUUGGUAACCCCUUGAAAAUCUUCCGUGGUCGGGAUCGGGAAUUGCAAUUAUUUCCCUUGAACGAGGAAUUCCUAAUAAGUGUGAGUAAUCAGCUCACGUUGAUUUCGUCCCUGCCCUUUGUACACACCGCCCGUCGCUGCCCGGGACUGAGCCGUUUCGAGAAAAGCGGGGACUGCUGUUUCGAGACCUUUCGAGGUGGAGAUUCUUUCGUGGAAACCGCCUUAAUCGCAGUGACUUGAACCGGGCAAAAGUCGUAACAAGGUUUCCGUAGAUGAACUUGCGGAAG
rnacentral:rRNA from 1 species